GCUGAGCCUGGUGCUCUAGAACCUUAGGCCAAGCAACAUCACACUGUCCUGUUGUCUUGACAACCAACCUCAGCAUCUCUGAGCUGAGUGUCAUUCUCUUAUAUCUCUCCCCAUCAGAGCAAAUCAACAACUAAUCCUGGAACUAAUCUUGUACACUCAGAAAGGUCGUUGCUGAGUGGAGGGGGGGGGUCAGAAGAGUUGCUCUCAGCUAUCUUGUGUUAAAAUGGCGCCGGACCAGGUUUGGAGCCUGGGCAUCUAUGGAGCACAGCCACACUCCUCUCCCAGAUGAAGUGAGGAAUCUCACAAGGCUGAUCACUUCCUUUACGAUGCAGAUGCUCCACCCUCCUGUAUCCCAUGAGCUAGUCCUGUCAGGUCCCUGGGGACCUACCCUAGUCAGCUGCCCAAUGACCAGAAUGUGAUUCCCCAGGAAAAAGAAGAUGGAAGGAAAGAAGCAAUUCCAAGUUGUCCUCUGACGUCCCUGUGUAAGUGAACACAC